rnacentral:lncRNA from 1 species
GAUGCUAGGCCAAGUGCAAGGUCUCGGGGAAGACCUGCAGCUACUCCUCCAUCAGCCAUAGCCUCUAUAGCUAGAAAAAUAUAAGCUGGACCGCUACCACUGAAAUUAAACAUCAUACAGGGACUAAUUCAACCAAGUUGGCAAGUCAAAGGUAUUAUGGAUCAAAUCAAACAUAAAAAGUUGGCAACAUAGUUGAUAUACAAUGGCUCCAUACGUGACAGUUUUCUCUGCGCAGACAGGAGACUUGUGGGGUUUCCAAGAACACUACUUACAGUAAAAAACUGGCAACAGGUAGAAGCUGGUACAGUAUCAUUUAUUUAAAACUCUUUGUCCCAUCGCAUGAUCAAUGAAAUCUGUCACUAGAAUCUGCACUGUACUCCUCUCUGUCCUAUUUUGUGCUUUGCUGAUAACUUCCCUAAUUCUCACUCUUAAAACAUCUAUAUUCAAAAGAAAGCAUCUUUGUCUGUAGGCAUUGAAAAGGUUGUCUAACAUGAGUCUAAACUCUAAAGUACAACACGUCCAAGAUAAAGAUUUCCACUACCUAGAUGCACAACACAUACAAUUUUCUAGAAUAAUAAAAGAACGGAAAACUCGGUCGGAAGUCAAAUUCAACAUACAAAUUUUCCAACUGAAAUGGGAUUAGUUUUCUAAAAAGACAACUACUUGAAAGGGAAAAUACCCGUAAUAAGUAUUACACAAUAUUGAGACACGUAACACAUUUUAAAAGCACUAUGUGAUAACUGGUAAAGAGUAAAGACGUGUCUUUAUAAUUGAACCAAAAAAUAUAUUGGUAUAUUUCUAUUUACUUCAAUUUACUGCAGAUCAUAAUACAAAUCAAAGCAACUAAAAUUUAAGCAAUUGACAUAUUUCAAGGGCCUAUGUAACAACUGACAAUCUAGCAUGCUAGUUAUAUAAGAAAAAAAAACACUUAAACAAAAUAGCAUCUAUAGAUUUAAGAGAGCACAUGAAGGGCAUAAAUAUAUAAAAAUUAUUACUGAAAAUAUAAGAGCUGAUCCAUAGAUAUAUAACUUUGCUACUUCAUGGCCAAAAUAAGGAUGAACCAUAGAAUAAUCUCAACCAAGCCCUGUUGAACCAUGAAUUAACACCAAACCCAUCUGACAUAGACAUAGAAUCUAUAGGGAAAGUGUGCACCACAGACCACUCGAAGAAACAAACCUCUGAGUGAACUUGAGAACCCCAAUCGGAGCUAUAUGGAAAGUCUACGGCUGUAUGGUUCUGGGAUGCAGGAUCAGAAAGAAGCUCAUUUGCAGCAACUUGCAAUUUCAGUUGUUAAGGAAAAAACAGGUGACCUCUCAUCAAUCUUAUCUGAUUAAAGCAAACUUUCAGAGAAUAUAUGACCUUUUCUUCUAGGAUAUAGAGAAGUUUCACACACACACACACACACACAAACACACACAUACAUAGUCACACAGCAGGUCGAGUUAUGACCCUCUAAUGGAACUCUCUAAUGGAGUUCAGCUGAGAAAGAUUUGGGAAAUAGAAUCGGGAGAGAAAAUAGAAACGAAUUAGGAAUCUAUUUGAUCAAUCCUUACACAAGAGCCGUACUAAUUCCAGUUCAAUUAUAAAUCAAAAUUUUUAGGGUUUGUUCAAAAUUUACAGCCAAUUAAUCAUAUUCACCUAAAUUAAACAACAGAAGAAGAUAAAAGAGUAAGGGUGAGUCUUCAGAUGCUUACCCAGCGAGAAGAAGAUGAGAUGACGCCACGACGUGAAGAAUCACAGCGGUGGUGGUGGUGGUGGUGGAGGUGGUGGUGGAGGGAGAAGAGUUGAGAAAGAGAGAGAGAGAGAGAGAUGGAGUUUUGGUUGCGGUGGUGAGGGUGAGAAAGAGAGAUCGAGUUUUAGGUUGUGUUUUUUUUGCUGAAUUCUAAGUCAUUUUAGUAGUAAUGGAGAAGAUGAGAAGAAGAUGAGAACAGAUGAAGAAGAUGAGAAGAAGAUGAGAAGAAGAUGCUUACCCAGCGAGAAGAAGACGAGAAGAAUCACAGCAGUGGUGGUGGUGGUGGUGGUGGGUAGUAGUGGUGGUGAAGAAAGAGAGAUCGAGUUUUAGGUUGCGGUGGUGAGGGUGAGAAAGAGAGAUCGAGUUUUUUGCGGUGGUGAGGGUGAGAAAGAGAGAUCGAGUGAGGUUGCGGCCGCCAUUAGAGAGAGAGAGAGAUCGAGUUUUAGGUUUGUUUUUUUUUUUAUGUUAUAUAGUGUGGCGAAAAAUGUUGGCGAAUUCGCGGUGAAUAAAAAAACACCUAUUCGGGUGGGCGAAAAAAUGGUCGAUUCGCCGAGUUUUUUUGGUGAAUGAGUGUAUUUUGACAAAAAAAUCCGGUGUAUAAAUAAUUUACUCCAAAUACGCCAAAUUCACCGAGUCUUUAUCAAACAUCAAGAAUACCGGUGAAACGCGGCGAAUCACCCAUUCACCACGGCGAAUCGGUUAUCAAACAGGGCCUACAUUCUUUAGAAACGUGGAACAAAUUCACACUCCAUAUUGAGGUGUCCAUAUCAUAGUACAAAAUAUCGUUAUCGACUAAUGUAUCGAUCUCCAAAAAAUAGAUAUAUCGGGAUAUAUUGGAAUCUAUCGGUGGAUAUUUUACAUGGAAUGUAUCGACUAAUAUAUCAAUUUGUUAUACAAAAUAUAUAUAAAAUCAAAUUUGGAAGUAUAUUUUCAUAGUAUUUACCUAAAAAACAUCAUAUCUACUAAAAAUAGAAUAAACAAAUUAUUUAAAAAAAAAAAAUUUGAAAAAAAUAAUAUUUCUAGAAAAUUUCGGAAAAUAUCAGUAAAUAUCGAAUAUAUCGAAAAAUAUCGGCCGAUAUUUUACAGAUACUUUAAGGCGAAAAUUUCGGGAAUAUAUCGUAUCGUUUUCUAAACCGAUAAAUAUCGUGAUAUAUCACGAUAUUUUGUACUAUGGUCCAUAUUAUCACUAGAUGCUACCCGCUACUCCUCUACAGUAGGCUGAUCAGGAAUGUAAAACUAAUAUUAGUAAAAUGGACAUUUAAGUAUGUGACCAAAGAAAAGAAAAAAAUAUAGUGAAGACUAUACAAGUAUGGCUAUUGGUAAGUUACCUCCCCUGCUGCUACGGCUGGUGGUGUUAUCACCACCAAUUCAAAUGGAGUGUAUUUAAAACGAAGGUGAUCAUCACCAAUUCAAUCAAUUCUACAUUAUAUCUGCAUUGCAAAUCCGCCAAUGAUGAUCGAUCUUGGCCCUAAGGUCCUUGGCUAUGGUGAAAGAACUAGUUGGGAUUUUAUGGUGAAUUUUUGGGAAACUACCCUCUAUUGGUGUUCAAUGUCUUGGGUGGAUUCUGAUGGUCAUGAGCUAUAUGGGUCUGAUGACGUAUUUAAGUAAAAACAUGUAAAAUGUUGCUCGGGAUCUUUUCAGUGUUACAAACAGGCCAGAAAGGAUGGGUUAUGGGCUACUGGUGGGGAUAAAGGCGACUAUAUAAUGUUUCCACGCGCAGUUUGUAGCGCGUUUGUCCUCUACUUUUGUGUAAUUCGUUGAGCUUAUCAAUAAAAUAAAAAUAAAAAAAAUUGGUUGUCUUGGUCGUUAAACUUUACUGCAAUUUGCAAAUUGGUCAGUAAACUUUUUUUCUUGUCAAUUUGCUCAACAAACCUUUCAAUUUAGUACAAUGUCAGCAAGCGUUAAUUUGAAACUGAUAGAAAAGCUCUAUGUUGCAGGUUACUAUGUGCGUUGAAUCCCCACCCACUGUCGCUUUUAGA